rnacentral:rRNA from 1 species
AACGAACGCUGGCGGCAUGCCUAACACAUGCAAGUCGAACGAGACCUUCGGGUCUAGUGGCGCACGGGUGCGUAACGCGUGGGAACCUGCCCUUAGGUUCGGAAUAACUCCCCGAAAGGGGUGCUAAUACCGGAUAAUUUCUUCGUACCAAAGAUUUAUCGCCUUUGGAUGGGCCCGCGGUGGAUUGGCUAGUUGGGGGGGUAAAGGACUACCAAGGCGGCGAUGGGUAGCUGGUCUGAGAGGAUGAUAGGCCAGACGGGGGCUGAGAAACGGCCGAGACUGCUACGGGAGGCAGAAGUGGGGAAUAGGGAGGGAGGGGGGGGGGCGGGAGGCAGCAACGCCGGGUGCGGGAUGACGGCCGUCGGGUGGGAGACCGCUUGCAGCAGGGGCGAAGCGGGUGGUGACGGUACCUGCAGAAGAAGCACCGGCUAACUACGUG